ACAUUCCUCUCUCUGGAGAAGUGCUCAGUGAUCCAUUUCCUUCAGUGACUGCCAGGGAGAGCAAGGAGCUUCUGGGACAGGAGGAGCUGGGUUGCUGAAGGGCUCUCCUACACACACAGCUCCUGACUGCGCAUGAAGGAGGAAGGGAGAGAGACAGGUUGAGCAAUACAACAGAAGGUUUUGAUAACCUGUCUUCUGAUGCCAAGGUAAGACAACUAUGAAAAUGUAAAUCAAAUGUUUUUAGCAUAUCAAA
rnacentral:lncRNA from 1 species